rnacentral:rRNA from 1 species
UAAUAGCUCACUGGUCGAGUCGGCCUGCGCGGAAGAUGUAACGGGGCUAAACCAUGCACCGAAGCUGCGGCAGCGACACUAUGUGUUGUUGGGUAGGGGAGCGUUCUGUAAGCCGUUGAAGGUGUGCUGUGAGGCAUGCUGGAGGUAUCAGAAGUGCGAAUUGAGAGAACUCGGGUGAAGGAACUAGGCAAAAUGGUGCCGUAACUUCGGGAGAAGGCACGCUGAUAUGUAGGUGAAGUCCCUGCGGACGGAGCUGAAAUCAGUCGAAGAUACCAGCUGGCUGCAACUGUUUAUUAAAAACACAGCACUGUGCAAACACGAAAGU